GAUGAAGAACGUAGCGAAAUGCGAUACGUAAUGUGAAUUGCAGAAUUCAGUGAAUCAUCGAGUCUUUGAACGCACAUUGCGCCCCCUGGUAUUCCGGGGGGCAUGCCUGUCCGAGCGUCAUUGCUGCCCUCAAGCACGGCUUGUGUGUUGGGCCUCCGUCCUCCUCCCGGGGGACGGGCCCGAAAGGCAGCGGCGGCACCGCGUCCGGUCCUCGAGCGUAUGGGGCUUCGUCACCCGCUCUUGUAGGCCCGGCCGGCGCUUGCCGACACAUCAAUCUUUUUUCCAGGUUGACCUCGGAUCAGGUAGGGAUACCCGCUAACUUAAGCAUAUCAAUAAGCGGAGGA
rnacentral:misc_RNA from 1 species